ACGCAAACAGUCGUGGAUCGAGCAGACCGCGUUGCUGUGCAAGCCGAGAGAGCGCGACCCCUCAACGGAACGCCUUCACCCGAAAGAAAAGGUUAGCAGCAGCAGCUCCGAGGAGAUCCCGUUUGGUGUUUCUGUGCGUGGGGGUUGAUACAAUGAAGGAGACAGAGAGAUUAUCGUUGAGCGGGAGAAUAUCUGGAGAGGAGAAUAACGGUCUGACACAGAAAAACAUACCGUCGGCUUUUAUACAGACGGACACAGCCUCUCAGCACUCCAUUCAGUUGAGUCCUCUGCAUUAUCAAAUGUUACGUCUAUUUGGACAUGAAUCUCUCUCUCCUCACCCCACGUCCCAAGGUAAUGAAUAAAGCUCUCUCUGCCACCAUUGGUGUCAGCCCAGCUCUCUCUCUCUCUCUCUCUGUCGGUCGCCUCCGAGUCAGAAGGGUGUGGGCUCGGGCCCCACGUCCCCCGCGCAAAACACGCAGUCACUGCACUUCACAGCGAAACU